rnacentral:rRNA from 1 species
AUGGCGGGCGAGGCGCUGGGGGACGCCGCCAGCGCGUCGAGCUUCCUGUGCAGCGCCGACGAGCUCCGCUUCGACGCGCCCGCCCGUGCGCUGGCGGCCGAGGAGGCGCUGCAGCCCGGGUGGCUCUCCGGCCUCCACGAAAGGAAGGGUCCUCGGCCGGAACCUCCAUCAGGUUGCGUGCUUGGACCAGCAAAUCCAUCAAAUUCCGGAGUACUUGGACCAGAAAACAUGUCGCCUUCGAGUUCGCCGGAGGAAGAGACGCCGAGUUCGACGGAGGUAGAAGAACAUCCGUCGAGCCGUCCAAUAUCGACAACGGCGGCUACAGCAGACGUAUGUAGCCCCUUGAAAGCCAAAUCACUACAAAGGAAAUCAAGGGUAGCCCCUGUUUCUCUGUCUGCCACAGAAUUGCGAACCUGUUCUUUUAUUCAGUACAUAGUUCAACAGUUUUUAGCAAAGUUUCAGUUAUUUUCUAACUGCUUUCUUCAGAGUUCAGAAAUUUGUUUCAAGUCUGUAAUGCUUCCACUAGAUUCAUAG